GAAUCCAUAGGUUAAUGAGGCGAACCGGGGGAACUGAAACAUCUAAGUACCCCGAGGAAAAGAAAUCAACCGAGAUUCCCCCAGUAGCGGCGAGCGAACGGGGAGCAGCCCAGAGCCUGAAUCAGUAUGUGUGUUAGUGGAAGCGUCUGGAAAGGCGCGCGAUACAGGGUGACAGCCCCGUACACAAAAAUGCACAUGCUGUGAGCUCGAUGAGUAGGGCGGGACACGUGGUAUCCUGUCUGAAUAUGGGGGGACCAUCCUCCAAGGCUAAAUACUCCUGACUGACCGAUAGUGAACCAGUACCGUGAGGGAAAGGCGAAAAGAACCCCGGCGAGGGGAGUGAAAAAGAACCUGAAACCGUGUACGUACAAGCAGUGGGAGCACGCUUAGGCGUGUGACUGCGUACCUUUUGUAUAAUGGGUCAGCGACUUAUAUUCUGUAGCAAGGUUAACCGAAUAGGGGAGCCGAAGGGAAACCGAGUCUUAACUGGGCGUUAAGUUGCAGGGUAUAGACCCGAAACCCGGUGAUCUAGCCAUGGGCAGGUUGAAGGUUGGGUAACACUAACUGGAGGACCGAACCGACUAAUGUUGAAAAAUUAGCGGAUGACUUGUGGCUGGGGGUGAAAGGCCAAUCAAACCGGGAGAUAGCUGGUUCUCCCCGAAAGCU
rnacentral:rRNA from 1 species